GAUGAACGCUAGCGGCAGGCUUAAUACAUGCAAGUCGAGGGGCAGCAUGACUGUAGCAAUACAGUUGAUGGCGACCGGCAAACGGGUGCGGAACACGUACGCAACCUACCCAAAACUGAGGAAUAGCCCGGGGAAACCCGGAUUAAUACCUCGUAACAUAAUUGAGUGGCAUCAUUUAAUUAUUAUAGCUCCGGCGGUUUUGGAUGGGCGUGCGCCUGAUUAGAUAGUUGGCGGGGUAACGGCCCACCAAGUCGUGCGAUCAGUAACUGGUGUGAGAGCACGACCAGUCACACGGGCACUGAGACACGGGCCCGACUCUACGGGAGGCAGCAGUAAGGAAUAUUGUCAAUGGACGCAAGUCUGAACCAGCCAUGCCGCGUGAAGGAUGAAGGUCCUCUGGA
rnacentral:rRNA from 1 species